rnacentral:RNase_P_RNA from 1 species
CGAGCCGGGCGGACGGCCGCGUGGAGUCCCCUUGAGGGGCUUCCCGAGGAACGUCCGGGCUCCACAGGGCAGGGUGGUGGCUAACGGCCACCCGAGGCGACUCGCGGGACAGUGCCACAGAAAGCAAACCGCCGGGGGCUUCGGCCCUCGGUAAGGGUGAAACGGUGGUGUAAGAGACCACCAGUGCCCAGGGUGACCUGGGCAGCUAGGUAAACCCCACCCGGAGCAAGGUCAAGAGGGAGCACCCCGGUGCUCCUGCGGGGACGCACGAGGGCUGCCCGCCCGAGCCCCCGGGUAGACCGCACGAGGCCGGCGGCAACGCCGGCCCUAGAUGGAUGGCCGUCGCCGGGCGGUCCGCGAGGACCUCCCGGAACAGAACCCGGCGUACAGCCCGACUCGUCUG